CAAGUGUGAAAUAUGCUACCUCCAGUAUAUUGAGCUUCUUUCUUAGUAGCAGAAGGCACAGGGCACACUAGCUCAUUCUUUAUUUGGAAGAAGAUUCUCAGCAUCCCCAAGAUCUUGAGCCCUCUAAAAAUAAUAACUGUGGCAGGUUUCUGGCUCUUUGUAGGGUUGACCUCCUGCUUUUGUGAGUACUUGUAUCUCUUGUUACUGAUACAAGAGGUCUUGUAUCUCUUGUUACUGAUACAUCUGAUACCAUAGGGCCGGCUGGAUCACAUGGCCUGAUAGAAAGGCCUGAUUUAUGUGAUGUCAUCAGGCAUGCUGUCAUCAUGACCUUUGUGAUGCUCUGUGGCCAGAUGGCCCAGGUCCCUUUGGAAAUACUAUGACAGAAUCAAGGAGAAUUACCAAAGCCCCAGGGCAGCACUGAGUGAAUACUGCUAUUCAUCCUAUGGCUAUGAAUGUGAACUAUUUUGGAUACUUCUUUCUGCUGGAUAUGGAAAAGACAGCAUUUGCCAGAUCAAUAGCUGCCUGCCACUUACCUUCAACUAUGUUAAGUUGCUCUGGGGAUAGGGGCAGCUUCAGAGGCUUCCACUUGACCUUUUGUAUGACAGAAGCUCUUAAUCUACUGGCCAAGAAACUAUGCCCAGCCAUUGCUCCUGAGCUUCAGAACCACAUAUCCAACUACCUACAAGAUACCUUCAUGAGGAUGUGCCAGGCAGUGGAAACAUUCAGAGCAGAACUUCUCACAUCUCCAUACUUGCUGUCCCAUGUUCCUCUUCCCUGUGACUGGCACCGUAACCCAACAGUUAUUGACGUCACUAAACACGGAAUUGGGAAGAGAGACUUAGUAGCCAUCAUGACAUGGCAUUUCCACGACCGAAAUACAAGAGAAGUGCAUGGUCCCAGCGGCAUAGAGAACAAUAAAGUGCAGUGAGA
rnacentral:lncRNA from 13 species